GGGACGAACGCUGGCGGCGUGCUUAACACAUGCAAGUCGAGCGGUAAGGCCUUUCGGGGUACACGAGCGGCGAACGGGUGAGUAACACGUGGGUGAUCUGCCCUGCACUUCGGGAUAAGCCUGGGAAACUGGGUCUAAUACCGGAUAUGACCUCAGGUUGCAUGACUUGGGGUGGAAAGAUUUAUCGGUGCAGGAUGGGCCCGCGGCCUAUCAGCUUGUUGGUGGGGUAAUGGCCUACCAAGGCGACGACGGGUAGCCGACCUGAGAGGGUGACCGGCCACACUGGGACUGAGACACGGCCCAGACUCCUACGGGAGGCAGCAGUGGGGAAUAUUGCACAAUGGGCGAAAGCCUGAUGCAGCGACGCCGCGUGAGGGAUGACGGCCUUCGGGUUGUAAACCUCUUUCAGCAGGACGAAGCGCAAGUGACGGUACCUGCAGAAGAAGCACCGGCUAACUACGUGCCAGCAGCCGAC
rnacentral:rRNA from 1 species